rnacentral:rRNA from 1 species
GAUCCUGGCUCAGGAUAAACGCUGGCGGCGUGCGUAACACAUGCAAGUCGAACGAGAUUGCUUUGACGGAACCUUCGGGGGAAGAUGAAGCAUGAAAGUGGCGGAUGGGUGAGUAACGCGUAAGAAACCUGCCUUUCACACCGGGAUAGCAGCUGGAAACGGCUAUUAAUACCGGAUGAUACUUUUCUGACGCAUGUUAGGAAGGUCAAAGAAUUUCGGUGAAAGAUGGUCUUGCGUCUGAUUAG